GACUAGGUAGCAUAGUGGCUAUGCAUAAGAUUGCAAAUCUUCAUUAGGUCAGUUCGAAUCUGACCCUAGUCU
rnacentral:tRNA from 1 species